UGGAGCAUGUGGUUAAUCGAAGCAACGCGAAGAACCUUACCAGGUCUUGACAUCCCGAUGCUAUUUCUAGAGAUAGAAAGUUACUUCGGUACAUCGGUGACAGGUGGUGCAUGGUUGUCGUCAGCUCGUGUCGUGAGAUGUUGGGUUAAGUCCCGCAACGAGCGCAACCCCUAUUGUUAGUUGCCAUCAUUCAGUUGGGCACUCUAGCGAGACUGCCGGUAAUAAACCGGAGGAAGGUGGGGAUGACGUCAAAUCAUCAUGCCCCUUAUGACCUGGGCUACACACGUGCUACAAUGGUUGGUACAACGAGUUGCGAGUCGGUGACGGCGAGCUAAUCUCUUAAAGCCAAUCUCAGUUCGGAUUGUAGGCUGCAACUCGCCUACAUGAAGUCGGAAUCGCUAGUAAUCGCGGAUCAGCACGCCGCGGUGAAUACGUUCCCGGGCCUU
rnacentral:rRNA from 1 species